GGACGAACGCUGGCGGCACGCCUAACACAUGCAAGUCGAACGGAGAUUGAGAGCUUGCUCUUAAAUCUUAGUGGCGGACGGGUGAGUAACACGUGAGCAACCUGCCUCUGAGAGAGGGAUAGCUUCUGGAAACGGAUGGUAAUACCUCAUAACAUUACAUGACCGCAUGAUCGUGUAAUCAAAGAUUUAUCACUCAGAGAUGGGCUCGCGUCUGAUUAGCUAGUUGGUGAGGUAACGGCCCACCAAGGCGACGAUCAGUAGCCGGACUGAGAGGUUGAACGGCCACAUUGGGACUGAGACACGGCCCAGACUCCUACGGGAGGCAGCAGUGAGGGAUAUUGCACAAUGGAGGAAACUCUGAUGCAGCGAUGCCGCGUGGAGGAAGUAAGGUUUUCGGAUUGUAAACUCCUGUUUCGAGGGACGAUAAUGACGGUACCUCGGGAGGAAGCUCCGGCUAACUACGUGCCAGCAGCGGC
rnacentral:rRNA from 1 species